CCUACGGGAGGCAGCAGUGGGGAAUAUUGCGCAAUGGGCGAAAGCCUGACGCAGCGACGCCGCGUGAGGGAUGAAGGUCUUCGGAUCGUAAACCUCUGUCAGCAGGGAAGAACGGUCACUGUGCUAAUCAGCAGUGAAUUGACGGUACCUGCAAAGGAAGCACCGGCUAACUCCGUGCCAGCAGCCGCGGUAAUACGGAGGGUGCGAGCGUUAAUCGGAAUUACUGGGCGGAAAGCGCUCGUAGGCGGUAUGUCAAGUCAAGGGUGAAAUCCCCGCGCUCAACGUGGGAACUGCCUUUGAAGCUGGCAAACUGGGGUGUGUGAGAGGAUAGUGGAAGUCCAGGUGUAGGAGUGAAAUCCGUAGAUAUCUGGAGGAACAUCAGUGGCGAAGGCGACUAUCUGGCACAUAACUGACGCUGAGGAGCGAAAGCGUGGGUAGCAAACAGGAUUAGAUACCCCAGUAGUC
rnacentral:rRNA from 1 species